GUUAAGCGACUAAGCGUACACGGUGGAUGCCCUGGCAGUCAGAGGCGAUGAAGGGCGUGCUAAUCUGCGAUAAGCGCCGGUAAGGUGAUAUGAACCGUUAUAACCGGCGAUACCCGAAUGGGGAAACCCAGUGUGAUUCGUCACACUAUCAUUAACUGAAUCCAUAGGUUAAUGAGGCGAACCGGGGGAACUGAAACAUCUAAGUACCCCGAGGAAAAGAAAUCAACCGAGAUUCCCCCAGUAGCGGCGAGCGAACGGGGAGGAGCCCAGAGCCUGAAUCAGCAUGUGUGUUAGUGGAAGCGUCUGGAAAGGCGCGCGAUACAGGGUGACAGCCCCGUACACAAAAGCGCAUAUGCUGUGAGCUCGAUGAGUAGGGCGGGACACGUGGUAUCCUGUCUGAAUAUGGGGGGACCAUCCUCCAAGGCUAAAUACUCCUGACUGACCGAUAGUGAACCAGUACCGUGAGGGAAAGGCGAAAAGAACCCCGGCGAGGGGAGUGAAAAAGAACCUGAAACCGUGUACGUACAAGCAGUGGGAGCACCCUUUUGGGUGUGACUGCGUACCUUUUGUAUAAUGGGUCAGCGACUUAUAUUCUGUAGCAAGGUUAACCGAAUAGGGGAGCCGGAGGGAAACCGAGUCUUAAUUGGGCGUUAAGUUGCAGGGUAUAGACCCGAAACCCGGUGAUCUAGCCAUGGGCAGGUUGAAGGUUGGGUAACACUAACUGGAGGACCGAACCGACUAAUGUUGAAAAAUUAGCGGAUGACCUGUGGCUGGGGGUGAAAGGCCAAUCAAACCGGGAGAUAGCUGGUUCUCCCCGAAAGCUAUUUAGGUA
rnacentral:rRNA from 1 species